rnacentral:rRNA from 1 species
UACAGAGGGUGCAAGCGUUAAUCGGAAUUACUGGGCGUAAAGCGUGCGUAGUCGGUUAUUUAAGUCGGGCGUGAAAGCCCCGGGCUCAACCUGGGAAUUGCGUUCGAUACUGGAUAGCUAGAGUUCGGCAGAGGGAAGCGGAAUUUCGGGUGUAGCGGUGAAAUGCGUAGAUAUCCUGAGGAACACCGGUGGCGAAAGCGGCGCGCUGGAUCCCUUCUGACGCUGAGGCGCGAAAGCCAGGGGAGCAAACGGG